rnacentral:rRNA from 1 species
UACGUAGGGUGCAAGCGUUGUCCGGAAUUAUUGGGCGUAAAGAGCUCGUAGGCGGUUUGUCGCGUCGAAUGUGAAAACCCGGGGCUCAACCCCGGGCCUGCAUUCGAUACGGGCAGACUAGAGUUCGGUAGGGGAGUCUGGAAUUCCUGGUGUAGCGGUGAAAUGCGCAGAUAUCAGGAGGAACACCGGUGGCGAAGGCGGGUCUCUGGGCCGUAACUGACGCUGAGGAGCGAAAGCCAGGGGAGCGAACGGG